GACGAACGCUGGCGGCGUGCUUAACACAUGCAAGUCGAACGGAAAGGCCUGCUUUCCCUUGUGGAUUGCGGGUACUCGAGUGGCGAACGGGUGAGUAACACGUGAGUGAUCUGCCCCCAACUUGGGUAUAAGCCUGGGAAACGGGGUCUAAUUCCCGAUAGGACUGCAGGGUGGUGCCUGUGGUGGAAAACGAUUUUCUAGUGGUUGGGGAUGAGCUGGCGGCCUAUCAGCUGGUUGGUGGGGGAAUGGCCUACCAAGGCGGCGACGGGUAGCCGGCCUGAGAGGGUGGACGGCCACAGUGGGACUGAGAUACGACCCAGACUCCGACGGGAGGCAGCAGUGGGGAAUAUUGCACAAGGGGCGGAAGCCUGAGGCAGCGACGCCGCGUGGGGGAUGACGGCCUUCGGGUUGUAAACUCCUUUCGACCGCGAGGAAGCCACCUGGUUGGAAGGGUGGUGACGGUAGUGGUAGAAGAAGCACCGGCUAACUACGUG
rnacentral:rRNA from 1 species